UCCAGGGCUACACACGUGCUACGAAUGGCCGGUACAAAGGGCUGCGAAUACCGCAAGGUGGAAGCGAACCCCAAAAAAGCCGGUCUCAGUUCGGAUUGGAGUCUGCAACUCGACUCCAUGAAGUUGGAAUCGCUAGUAAUCGCGGAUCAGCAUGCCGCGGUGAAUACGUUCCCGGGCCUU
rnacentral:rRNA from 1 species